GGGAGGGACCAGAAACUCACCUCUGUUGGACCGGGUCAUGUGGUUGCUGGGAACUGAAAGAGACCAGAGAGAAGGAGACCUCCAGCUGCCACGGGAGCAGAGCACAGUGGAUUGGAAACGGCACGGUCCCAUUCGAUCUUCAAGGCUCAGUUUUCCCUCUGCUCCGGCAGUGCCGAGACUGGUCCCAGCUCUUGUUAUUUACUCCACCCACAUGCCCACCCAUGCCAGGCAUGCCGCCCUGGCAGUUAGCCCAGUUCCUCCUCCCGCCCGCGCUGGUCUGUGUGCUGCUUCUCCGAGGUGCCCUGGAUGCCUGAGGAGGGUAACUCAAGCCUCCCCAGAGUCAACAUGGGAACAAGCCAUUUCGAUGGACCUGAAACAAAUACGAUCAACGACGUUUCCAAACGAAAUGAAAAAACCAAACGAAGAACUUCCCUCCGAAAUCUCGCUACGUGGCAGAUUCUGAGCUUCUUUUGCUGCUUUUUGAUGUGCCGUUCAAACCAAAACGUUAUGGAAAUGGGGACACCCCAUGGUCGGCUGCAACAAAAUG